rnacentral:rRNA from 1 species
GAUGAACGCUGGCGGCGUGCUUAACACAUGCAAGUCGAACGGUGAAGGCGGAGCUUGCUCUGCUGGAUCAGUGGCGAACGGGUGAGUAACACGUGAGCAAUCUGCCCCUGACUCUGGGAUAAGCGCUGGAAACGGCGUCUAAUACUGGAUACGAGCUGCGAAGGCAUCUUCAGCAGCUGGAAAGAAUUUCGGUCAGGGAUGAGCUCGCGGCCUAUCAGCUUGCUGGUGAGGUAAUGGCUCACCAAGGCGUCGACGGGUAGCCGGCCUGAGAGGGUGACCGGCCACACUGGGACUGAGACACGGCCCAGACUCCUACGGGAGGCAGCAGUGGGGAGUAUUGCACAAUGGGCGAAAGCCUGAUGCAGCAACGCCGCGUGAGGGACGACGGCCUUCGGGUUGUAAACCUCUUUUAGCAGGGAAGAAGCGAAAGUGACGGUACCUGCAGAAAAAGCGCCGGCUAACUACGUG